rnacentral:lncRNA from 1 species
GUCGAGGAGGCGUUGUGUGGGCGCGACGGCUGCGAGUUGGGGAGGUCUGUGGUGCGGGUCGCCCCGGGGGAUCCCCGGCGCGGGCCUCGCGCGACGGCCACGGUCGCGCGGCGUGUGUGGGGGGUCCACGCACACCCGCAAAACUUCCUCCUCCCCUGCUCCGGGAGAGCGAGCGAGCGUGUGUGAGAGCGAGUGUGAGGAGCGAGCCGCGGCCCGACGCCCAGCGCCGCCGCUGGAGCAGCUGUCAAAACUUCGCCGCCGCCCGGGCCCCGCGGCCCGCCCUCCCCGCGCCGGGCCCCUUUCUCUUCCUGCUGCGGGCGGCCCGGGGGAGGGGCCGCGGGCGGAGACCCCGGAGGCCGGCGCCCCUCACGCCGCCCGCCCGCCCGCUCCCCGCCCGGCCCCUGCGCGCGUGCGUGUCCUGCUCGCUCCAUGUUGCCGCCUCUCCCGGUACCUGCUGCUGCUCCCGGGGCUUCGGGAAAUGCGAGAGUCUGAGCCGGGGAGGAGGAACCCGAGCAGCGGCGGCGGCGGCCGCGGCGGCGGGAGCCCCCCAAGAGGAGGACCGGGAUCCAUGUGUCUUUCCUGGUGACUAGGAUGUCGUCGGAGGAGAACAAGUGCGUGGAGCAGCCGCAGCCACCACCCCCCGAGGAGCCUGGAGCCCCGGCCCCGAGCCCCCCAGCCGCAGACAAAAGACCUCGGGGCCGGCCUCGCAAGGCGCUUCCCCUUUCCAGAGAGCCAGAAAGAACAGCAAGAUUAAGAAAAUUGUGCAUUCAAUUAUAUCAUCCUUUGCAUUUGGACUAUUUGGAGUUUUCCUGGUCUUACUGGAUGUCACUCUCGUCCUUGCCGACCUAAUUUUCACUGACAGCAAACUUUAUAUUCCUUCGGAGUAUCGUUCUAUUUCUCUAGCUAUUGCCUUAUUUUUUCUCAUGGAUGUUCUUCUUCGAGUAUUUGUAGAAGGGUGGAUUCUUGCUCUGUCACCCAGGCUGGAGCGUAAUGGCACAAUCUUCGCUCACUUCAACCUCUGCCUUCUGGGUUCGAGCAAUUCUCCUGCCUCAGCCUCCUGAGUAACUGGGAUUACAGGCGUGUACCACCACAUCUGGCUAAUUUUUGUAUUUUUAGUAGGGACGGUGUUUUACCAUAUUGGCCAGGCUGGUCUUGAGCUCCUGAACUCAAGUGAUCCACUCGCCUCAGCCUCCCAAAGUGCUGAGAUUACAGGCUUGAGCAACCUUGCCCAGCCAAAAGUAAACUUUUUAAUUCCAUCACAAUAUGUUCUAGAUCUUUGACAGACUGAAAGACAUAGAAUGUCAAAAGGUGAGACUCUCUCAUGUGGCUAAACACCCUCCUACUGCAGAUACAGAACUGAGCCCAAGAGCAUUCACAUGCUGGUGAGAGGUGGUGGCCAGGGGCAGGCAGAUGGUUGCACCACUCUCAGGGUCAGCAUCCUCCCCAGUGUGGCAUGGGGGAGGGGAGGGGAGGGGGCACGGGGCCUGGGAGGCUGUAGCCUAAAGGCACGCAGCGGGCAAGAGACUACUGGGCGGACCCCUGCCAGCCUUCAGUUCCAUGAGCGUCUGGUGCCAGGACGCUCCUUGUGGGCUCUGCCCUGGGAGAAGUGCCCUUGCCCAGUGCUCCUUCUCGGUGUCUGUGACGUGCUGUCUCCAGUCCUCCUCAUUAGCAUACCUUGGCCGACCUUUGGCUCAUGGAAAAACACUUUGCUCUUCUCGGAACAAUUUCUUUUUCACAACUGAGCAAAUGACUGAUGAGGUGACCACACUCAUGACCAUACUCAUCUGUUGGUGGUGGGUGGGGGGUGGACUGGAUGAGGACAGCAUUGGGCAACACUCUUUCUGGCCUCCCCACUGCAGGGAGCCACAAUUACUGUGGGAGGCCAGGGUAGUCCAGGGUUUCCCUUUGGGCCAUCAGCAUUCCAACUGCUCCUCCUACUUCUGGCCUCUGGAGAACUAAAUUACCACCAUGCACUUCCCAUUCCACCUGUGCCUCAGCCCGAGGGUCCUGCUCUUCCUGCAUAUUCAAGCUGAUCUUUCUAGGGAGUAGCCUGCACUGUGCCAGCACUACCCCCUUGUCACAGGCAGCACCUCCCUGUGCUGGGGGAGCCUCAGUCUGCCCUUGGGCUCAGGCCCCUAGGCUCAGGUUAGCUGACAUUCCCAGGAAAUCCUACAACUUCUCCUUUCCUUUCAUGGCUGUAAGACACAGUCCACUAUCAGUCUCAUUGUAAAAGACAUUUCUAAAGAGUGUCCUCCUUUCUUUCCCAACACUAGCAGGGACAGUAAGUGAUGUUUCCUGGGAGAUGCUAUGGUGUUAUUUUUGCACUACAAGGGCUCUGAAGACUGCCAGGCUUGAAAUGAAGAACGAUGUCACCUGCCUAUCACAGCCAGGUGACAAUGGACAAGGGGCUUCACCUCUGAGCUGUUUUCCAGCUGCACUGGGCACAUUCCUCCCCUCACCCUGACUCACAAGGUGUUAGCAAUAAUGGACACUUCUCUACCUUCUGCCACACUCUGAACAAUGCCACACUUCCAUCAAAUGGAUUCAUCCCAAAGGUAAAGCCCAUCACUUCUAGAGGGAGAAAGGUAAUGUUUUCCUACCACUUUUAUUUGAUCUCAUUUAGAAGGUACUUGAGGAAUAGAGAAGACUGGGUUUUCUCUGGGAUUAUACUUAGGCAUUUCUUAACGACUGGGACAUGUUCUGAAAAAUCUGUCAUUACACAAUUUCAUCAUUGUGCUAUCAUAGAGCAUACACACCCGACCCUAGAUGGCAUAGCCUACUCCACACCUAGGCUGUACAGUAUGGCCUGUUGCUCAAGGCUACACACCUGUACAGCAUGUUACUGUACUGGAUACUGUAGGCAACUGUAACACAGUGGUAUUUGUGUAUCUAAACGUAUAUAAACACAGAAAAGGUAUAGUAAAAGAUGGUAUAAUUUCAUGGGACCACCAUCCGAUACACCAUCCAUCACCAACAGAAACAUGGUUAUGAGGCACAGGACUGUAACUGCAGCCCCUGCCAUGAGGUCAAUGGCAGCCUGGAUAGGGGGAUUGGACUUCAUGUUUGCCCACUCUUCUGGUCUCAUGGAAGGCAGCUCUCUGGAGCUUAUGACAGGCACCACAUAUCCCUGGGGGGAGGCAAGAGUUCACCAUUAGUCCAAGUCUGCAGCCUCCCAUUCUCUAGGCCUGCAGCCAAAUUACUGGACCUAAACUUCUGGGAGCCAUGAACUGGGCUCUACAUUGUUCCAAAGGAAAGGGGCUCAAGGAAUCAGUGCAGCUUAGCAAUUGUCCCUUAGAAAGCUCACAGAUCAAAAACCUCCCCUGCGUAUCAAUUCUACAGCCACCAGCAGCACUUCAACUGACCUUUCUGAAAACUGAAAAAAUGAACACCAAAUAAGUCAACCACAGAUGUACUAACCCACAUCAGGCUUGCUUUUUUAGAGGCCUGCGCUGAGCCAUCAACUGAACAGGCUCACUUCUAAAUCAGAAAGCAGCCUGUGCUGCGUGCCUAAGGGAACGUCACAAGACAGUAGGUCUGGAAAGAAGCACCCAGGCAGCCAAGGGUGGGAGCUGCACCCCAGGAUCACAAACGCCUUGGUGAAUGCCUGCUCUACCUGCAGUGUGGCCCCUUUGGCCUCUACAGCUGGAAGUCUUCAUCUGUACAAAGUGAAUAAUAAAAAUAUUAUAAAACAAAGGCAGUCACAAAUAGCCACAUUGGUGUUGAGGUGAUCAAACCCAACACCAGGCCAUGGGGGCUACAAAGUCCGGCAGAGUCAAAGGAAUGAGACAAGCUAAUAGUACACAAAGUGGGUCCAGGGGGCCAAUGCUAGUAUAGAGGCUGUGAAGGCCCUGAACUCUGGGAGCCCACACCAUUUAUUGGAGAUUAAACAAAGAAGCAGGUGGUGAGGACGUGCUGGUCAAAAGGAAGCAGUCACAUCAAGUGUUUAGUUUAUAGCUGUGUCGGUCUAGCAUUUUCUUUGAAGCAUAUGGAACAUGUUCUGCUACUCGAGAUAAUGAACAUUUCCUUCUGCCUCAAGGUACAAUCAGUUUAUGAUCCUGGGAGAGCAAGAAGCAAGGAGCCAGCAAGUCUGGACACAUUCCAGAGGCCACGAGGGGUUUUAUGUCCUGAGUCCUGGAUUCCAUCCAAGCCAUGAGGGGUUUUAUGCCCUAGGCUUAGGUUGUAGUGCGGCGGGGCAGCCUUCCACCCUUAAGCACAGAACCUGGUGUUCCAUAGGCCACAAGAAGUUUUAAACUCUGGACCCAGGACAUGUUCCAAGGCUCUUUUCAUAUUAUGUCAGACUAGCAAGUCUUGCCUCAGCUUUUCUCCCAACAAUUGGACUGAUGGGUUGCUCCACUGGGCACAAGCAUCAUGGGUUCUUAAAACAAGGCCCUGAACAAGCACCAAAUAUGUUCCUGUCACCACACUCCACUAGCCCUUCAACUAUAAACAUGCAUAGGAGUCACCUGGGGGCCUUGCUAAAUAAAAUGCAGCUUCUGAUUCAAUAGUCUCAAACAGGACCAGAGAUUCUGCGUCUCUUGUUGAGUUCCCGAGUGAGGCAGACAAUGCCAGUCCACAGACUCACAUUUUGAGAUACAGCACCUGGGCCAUUGUGUUCCAAUGUGCUUGAUAACCUGGAGCACCUAUUAAAUAUCCAAGUUGCCAGGACUUUCUUCUGGAAAUCUUAAUUCAGUAUGUUUUGUUUGGAGCCUUGGACGUUUGGGAAAACUAGAAUUUCUUUCUCUCCCUUUAGACAAAAGUCAACUACUGCUGAGGCAUGGGCUUAAUAAAUGUUGACUAAAAUAUCCAACUCAACAACCAAUCCUGUAUAAUUUUCAAACUCUGUCAAUAACUUGCUGGGUCCAACCUGCAGACCCUGGCUGCGUGAUGGAUGAAGAAAUGCACUCAGACACAGAUCCCCUACAAAAGACCAUGUUUCUUCUCAGCUUGCUCAGUCCAGCUGAGCCAGCUUUCCACUGGACUCCUGAAUGUGAGAAGGACACAGGCUCCCAGGACCAUCCAGAAGCAUCUCUCAUCACCUUAAAGCUCUGAAACACUGGCUGGGUGCAGAGGCUCACACAAGUAAUCCCAACACAUUAAGAGGCUGAGGUGGGAGGAUUGCUUGAGGCCAGGAAUUCAAGACCAGCCUAGGCAGCAUAGCAAGACCCCAUCUCUACAAAAAGUACACCCCAAAAUUACCUGGGUGUGGUGGCACAUGCCUAUAGUCUCAAUUAGGAGGCUGAGGUGGGACUAUUCUUUGAUCCCAGGAGUUUGAGGCUGCAGUGGGGUAUGAUCGCACCACCGCACUCCAGCCUGGGAGACAGAUUGAGACCAUCUCUAAAACAACAACAGGCCAGGUGCUGUGGCUUAUGCCUGUAAUCCCAGCAAUUUGGGAGGCCGAGGCAGGUGGAUCACCUGAGAUCAGGAGUUCGAGACCAGCCUGGGCAACCUGGUGAAAUCCUGUCUCUACUAAAAAUACAAAAAUUUAGCAGGGCAUGGUGGCACACACCUGUAAUCCCAGCUACUCGGGAGGCCGAGGCAGGAGCAUUGCUUGUACCCAGGAGGCAGAGAUUGCAGUGAGCUGAGAUCACGCCAUUGCACUCCAGUCUGAGCAACAAGAGCAAAACUUCGUCUCAAAAAAAUAAAAAAUUAAAAAAUAACAAAAAAUGAGACAGAAAACAAAUAUUUUGUUUCAUUAUUGCUUGUUAGUUGAUUAAAGUAAUUCUGCUUCCACUUUAUUUUCAAAGACACUAAUUGCUACACUGAAUAAAACCUUAAUGGAGUUUCAUUAUAAGUAUCUAUUAUCAUUUGAUUAUUUUCUACAUAGAAGCAUGCAAAAAGUUUAAAAUUCAGUUUCAUUUGACUUAGUCUUGACUGUAAUGAAGGACUCUACGAAGAGGGGACACAGUGUUUAUGAGCUGGAGUCCUAGUAACUGCUUGGUGGCAGAGUCCCAGUCAUUCCCCAGUUCAAGCCAUGGGCAGAUAGAUGGGUACUGUCCUUCAGUUCUUCUUACCCAUUCACUUGCUUUCUUUAUUGCUUCAAAAGCCCAGGGAAUAUUCUUAGGUUAAAAAAAAAUAAAUGUUUCAGAUUUCAGAAUAUAACAUGUGAAAUGUAAUGUGGUACUAAACCCAUCACAUUAUAUCACACAAAAUGAUUCUGCCAAAAGUUAAGAUAUUUAAUAAAAGCAGUUUUCCUUGACAUCUUCCGGAAGUUCUUCUAACCAUCUGAACUUGAGCUUAUGCACUGCAUUGUCAAGUGUCCUGUGCCCCCCACCUCCUGGCUUCCACGUGCCUCCAGGCAUCCCUGCUGCCUACAGGACAGCUCAGGUUCCAGCCUCUCUACAGUUGUUUGUGGUUGUCCCCUUUCCAAGCUUCUCAGUCUAAAUCCUAUCCAUUCUUCAUGCACAAACUCAAGUAGUAUUUCACAAACGAGGCUUCUGUUUCUCUCUCCUUCCCACUGUACUGACUUGAUUAGGUCCCUUCAGAAUAUCUGACAGUCCCCCAUGAAACUGGCAUCUGUUCAGCUGUGUCACAUAAACCAGGAACAACUUGGUAGAAUAAGCUUAUCGAG